GGGCCUGUAGUCUAGAUGGUUAUGAUGCUGCCUUGACAAGGCAGAGGUCCGGAGUUCAAAUCUCCGCGGGCCCA
rnacentral:tRNA from 1 species